rnacentral:rRNA from 1 species
ACAUUACCUAUAUAGGAGCGAACGAGGGGAAUUGAAACAUCUUAGUACCCUCAGGAAAAGAAAUCAAUAGAGAUUGCGUCAGUAGCGGCGAGCGAAAGCGCAAGAGGGCAAACCCAGUGCUUGCACUGGGGGUUGUAGGACUGCAAUGUGCAAGAGGUAAGUUUAGCAGAACAUUCUGGAAAGUAUAACCAUAGAGGGUGAUAGUCCCGUAUGCGAAAAACAAACCUUAGCUAGCAGUAUCCUGAGUAGGGCGGGACACGAGGAAUCCUGUCUGAAUCCGGGUCGACCACGAUCCAACCCUAAAUACUAAUACCAGAUCGAUAGUGCACAAGUACCGUGAGGGAAAGGUGAAAAGAACUGAGGUGAUCAGAGUGAAAUAGAACCUGAAACCAUU